UACGAAGGGGGCUAGCGUUGCUCGGAAUCACUGGGCGUAAAGCGCACGUAGGCGGGUUCUUAAGUCGGUGGUGAAAUCCUGGAGCUCAACUCCAGAACUGCCUCCGAUACUGAGAGCCUCGAGUCCGGGAGAGGUGAGUGGAACUGCGAGUGUAGAGGUGAAAUUCGUAGAUAUUCGCAAGAACACCAGUGGCGAAGGCGGCUCACUGGCCCGUAACUGACGCUGAGGCACGAAAGCGUGGGGAGCAAACAGG
rnacentral:rRNA from 1 species